UCACCAAACUAGACACAGGCUCUAGGGAUAGAAUCGAAGAACUCUGUAGACAAAGGCAGAUGCUUUAGACACAUCAACACGCUAAAUUUAAAGACAGGUGAGGCAAGACACCUCAGCCAAAGUGCUGGCCGAUUUGCUGCAAACACCAUUAGGUUCUCGGAAGUAUCAGUGGUUGACCAUAGUAAUCCAGCAGUUGCAGCUGAAAAAUUUCAUGAAUUCAAGGACGGCAGAGGGCUGCCGACUCCAUAAAAGCAAGCAGUCAGGAUUUCAACUUGGCCUUGCAUGGUUUGAAAUGGAGCAUGCUUGACACAUACAUGAACAUUUUCAACAAGUGUGUAACCCAAGACAAGGACAAGCUUCAGAGAAACAGGUUUUAACUGCACUGU